AACGAACGCUGGCGGCAUGCCUAACACAUGCAAGUCGAACGAUGCCUCCGGGCAUAUUGGCGCACGGGUUCUUAACGCGUGGUAAUCUGCCCUUGGGUUCGGAAUAACUCGCCGAAAGGCGAGCUAAUACCGGAUGAUGACGUAAGUCCAAAGAUUUAUCGCCCAAGGAUGAGCCCGCGUAGGAUUAGCUAGUUGGUGGGGUAAAGGCCCACCAAGGCGACGAUCCUUAGCUGGUCUGAGAGGAUGAUCAGCCACACUGGGACUGAGACACGGCCCAGACUCCUACGGGAGGGAGCAGUGGGGAAUAUUGGACAAUGGGGGAAAGCAUGAUCCAGCAAUGCCGGGUGAGUGAUGAAGGGCUUAGGGUUGUAAAGCUCUUUUACCCGGGAUGAUAAUGACAGUACCGGGAGAAUAAGCUCCGGCUAACUACGUG
rnacentral:rRNA from 1 species